rnacentral:lncRNA from 1 species
AUGGCAUCUUCCUUCCCAAUUGCAGCGUCUUCCUCUUUCCUGUCCUCAAUGUUGGCAUCUUCCUCUCUCUCGUCUCCAAUCCCCAUGUCAUCCUUCUUUGGUUCUCCAAUCACCAUGUCAUCUUCUUUUGGGUCUCCAAUCCCCAUGUCAUCUUCAUUUGGGUCUCCAAUCCCCAUGUCAUCUUCCUUUGGGUCUCCAAUCCCCAUGUCAUCUCCUUUGGGUCUCCAAUCCCCAUGUCAUCUUUCUUUGGGUCUCCAAUCACCUUGUCAUCUUUCUUUGGGUCUCCAAUCACCAUGUCAUCUUCCUUUGGGUCUCCAAUCCCAUGUCAUCUUCUUGGUCUCCAAUCCACUGUCAUCUUCUUUGGGUCUCCAAUCACCAUGUCAUCUUCCUUUGGGUCUAAAAUCCCUGCUUCAUCCAUUACAGUAUCUGUAUGAAGACAGAUAAAAUUAGUAAUGUGUGGGUGUUUAGCUUUGAUGGCUGAAUUUCUUUGUUACCCCACCUGCGGCCUUUGAAGCCUGUGCUUUAACAUCCACCACUGCUUCUGGAACUUCUUUGGCUGGUUUCUUAGGAGUCUCAUUCUUAUUGGCUUAUUGGUGAGUUUGGAGGUGGGGAGUGGGUGAGUCUUCUAAAAUUACAGCAUCUUAGAGAAGCAGACAAAUGUUGUUAAAAAACAUGCUGAAGGUUUUGCUGGAGAAUUUUGUUUCUCCCUGUUCAAGCCAAGCGUGAUAACUAUAACUAUAAUAGCAUCCAUACUAUCUAUACUAAACACAGUUUAUUUUAUUUGUAUUUUUGCUCGAUUGUACUUAUUUGUGCUGUUACAUUUAGUUAGAUUAUUUAUAAUUUUCUCUAUUUUUAUUUGACCAUAAGUCCUUUUUCUCCUUAACCGAACCGUGACCCAAAAACCCUGAAACGAACCAUGAGCAAUCUGAACUGUUCACCCCUAGUAUUGUACUGCACAUCCAAGUGUAACAGAUUAUCAGAAAACAUGGAAUGUUUUAAGCACUGAAUGCUAAAUGGAUUUUGAGGUGCGGAGGUUGCACUAGAAAAAAGGCAGAUGAACGUAAGCUUGCAAGAAUGGGGUUUAAGCAGACAAAUGAUUAGAAAAGUCUGGCUUACGUUAUUAGAGAGAAGUCGGCUUACGUAUUAGAGAGAAGUCUGCCAUUUCACAGAAGAUCUGAGUUACGAUAUUUAGAUUAAACAUUACAAAAGUCAAAAAAGAAAAAAAAGAAAGAAAGAAAACAUAUGCACGGAUAAAAUCGUUCAAGAUAAGAUUAAUAACAUGCAUGUGGUACUCGUGCUAAUAUCAUUGGUUUGUUAAGAAGAGCCUUGCUAUUACUCUUCUGAGUGAUCUGACUUUCAAUGAAUAAGGGACACGAGCCAGUAAUCAACCACCUUGAAACCAACAGGCAACUCGUACCUUUCUCAUCCUUUUUCACAACUAACUUAUUGGUUUGGACGCGAACAUCAUUUUUAGACUGUGAAUCCACAUCUGGUUUGCCUUUUGGAGAUUGUGUCACAUUUUUAUCAGAAUGGUUUGUAGCGGGAACAUCAGAUUUGGCUUUUGAAACAGAGAAACAGAGACUUUCUGUAUGGAACCACCAGCAUCCUGUUAAGGACAGAGUUUGUGUAAGUGGAAAGGGGUAAAGAGACACCAAAAAGAUAAGAAUCACUAUAAAGGAGCCAUUUUAGGACACUUUUUCCCCAUUAACCAUACCUGUGAAGCAACUUUUUCAGAUGUCUUUUGCUUUUCCAGUUUGGCAGCUGCAAUUUUCGCAUUGCAUUCAUCUUUCAUGGCCUCAAUUUGUUUGUUGCACUGAGUCCUGCAAAAUCCCAUCCCACAUAGCCAUUAUCAUACUGAUCAAGGACUAUAAUGUCUUUUGUAUUGUAGAUUAGAGCAUUCAGAAUUAACCUACAUUUCACUGGUGGAUUUCUUAAGCGUGUCCAUGUUACUUUGACAGGACUUCAGCUCGCUCUGCAUUUUAUUAACAUCCUCCAUUAAUGACUUCAUGCGGUCUAGAAACAGAAAAUCAACAGUAAUGUGAAGAAAAGGUGAUAUGCAUCAUAGAGCACAUAUAAUAGGACAAAUAUGAGGUAGACACUUACUCUUCAUGUCUUGCACUGUUUUAAUACUGGAGGAAAUAUUGAGCUUCAGUUUAUCCUAUGACAGAGAAAAGAGUUUUAGAACCAAAAACAGAACCAAGCACAUCCAGUAUGACAUUUUUGCCCAUCAAAACCUAGCGACAUGUCUUCCUAAAGAGCAAUUUUGUGUUUAAUAGCAGACCUGCUUAUAUAGACAGUAGGGGUGUAACGGUAAACAAACAUGAAGGUUUUGACGUCACGGUUCGGCAUGGUUUUGGUACAGCAGGAGAAAAAACUAAACAUAAAAUAGCUUUUUUAUAUUAAACAAAUAUUACCUCAUAUUCUUCUCUAAACUGUAGGGAGCCCUUUUACAUUGCUAUAGGGUUACAAAUAGGGUUGGAAACUGGAAACUUUCCAUGGGAAUUAACGGGAAUAUAUGGGAAUUAAUGGGAAUAAACUGGAAAUUUGCAAAAUAGCUUGAACUGGGGACUUAAAUGUAGUUGAGAAAAAUCCUGCAGCAUAAUCUUGGUUAAAACAAUCUGGUUUAAUGCAAUUUCAGUUAAAUUUCUACCCUACACAUUACUCAAUCACAUGCACACAGCACACUGCUUACUGCAGGGCUAUUGAGGCCACACCCUCUACAUACACUGUGCUUUCCACCAUAACAUGAACAGAUCAUUUCUUGAAUCCUGCACACAAAAUAUCAAAAUUUCCAUCUUGGUAAGUAUUAAUGUAAAUUACAUGAAUAUUACAAAAACUAGUUUAAAACGUCCUUGUGCUGUGUGUAAUAUACUCUGCAACUAAAUUAGGCUAUACCAUUGUAAAAACAAAUACACUGACUGAACAAAUCAUAUAGACUGGAACAAUCAUGUAGGUGAGAUGAUAAUAAAACAGAAGUCUUAAAAAUGACCCUCCCCACACACACUCCCCUCCAGUUUCUCUGAAGCCACGCUUGCUGCAUUUGAGCCCAAAGACUACAUCCAAGUUUUGAUAUUUUAAAUACAUUUAAAAUCUAUGGGAUUCAAGUUUAACUAGUAAAUACCAAAAAGUGUUUAUACAGUAGCUAGCUAGCCAGUAAAAUCAAGAUAUGAAAAAUCUAAGCGAGUAAGCACUAUUUCAUUGACAAUUUAGGAGGUAUAAACUAGCUCAAGCUGUGAUGCUCUUUCUGCUAGCCAGUUUUCUGGUAUCAUACACAAGUACAGUACUGGUCAAAAGUUUGGACACAUUAUUAUUUUUAAUGUUUUUAAACAUUGCAUAUAUUAUGCUCAUCAAGCUUUCAUUUAUUUGAUCAAAAAUGCAGAACAAAACAGUAAUACUGCAUAGUAUUACCAGUAUUACAAUUUAAAAUAAUGGUUUUCUGUUUUAAUAUACUUAAAAAUGUCUAUCUGUAAUGCAAAGCUGAAUUUUACAUCGUUUCUCCAGUCUUCAGUGUCACAUGAUUCUUCAGAAAUCAUUCUAAUAUGCUUAGUUAUUAUCAAUUUUGAUAAUAUUUAUCAACUGUUGUGCUGCUUAAUAUUUUUGGAACCUGUGUUCCAUAAAAUUAAAUAAAAAGUUAAAAACAAAAGAAUUUAUUCAAAAUAGAAAAUAUAUAUAUAUAUAUAUAUAUAUAUAUAUAUAUAUAUAUAUAUAUAUAUAUAUAUUAAAAUAUCUUUUUCUGUGAUUCUCAGAAAUCAUUCUAAU